rnacentral:rRNA from 1 species
UGGGGAAUUUUGGACAAUGGGCGCAAGCCUGAUCCAGCCAUGCCGCGUGUCUGAAGAAGGCCUUCGGGUUGUAAAGGACUUUUGUCAGGGAAGAAAAGGGCGGGGUUAAUACCCCUGUCUGAUGACGGUACCUGAAGAAUAAGCACCGGCUAACUACGUGCCAGCAGCCGCGGUAAUACGUAGGGUGCGAGCGUAAAUCGGAAUUACUGGGCGUAAAGCGGGCGCAGACGGUUACUUAAGCAGGAUGUGAAAUCCCCGGGCUCAACCUGGGAACUGCGUUCUGAACUGGGUGACUAGAGUGUGUCAGAGGGAGGUAGAAUUCCACGUGUAGCAGUGAAAUGCGUAGAGAUGUGGAGGAAUACCGAUGGCGAAGGCAGCCUCCUGGGAUAACACUGACGUUCAUGCCCGAAAGCGUGGGUAGCAAACA